rnacentral:rRNA from 1 species
UAACGUUCCCGGGUCUUGUACACACCGCCCGUCACACCAUGGGAGCGGGUUUUACCAGAAGUAGGUAGCUUAACCGCAAGGGGGGCGCUUACCACGGUAGGAUUCGUGACUGGGGUG